CACACCUGGGCUCAGGGGGCUGAGGGGGGACCCAGGGGGCCCAGGUGAAGGGCAGGGGUGCCCAGGUGAGGGGAAGGCAUGCCAAGGUGUGCCCAGGUGAAGGGCAGGGGUGCCCAGGGGUGCCCAGGUGAAGGGCAGGGGUGCCCAGGCAAGGGGCAGGUGUGCCCAGGUGAAGGGAAAGACAUGCCCAGGUGUGCCCAGGUGAGGGGAAAGACAUGCCCAGGUGAGGAGAAAGCAUGCCCAGGUGUGCCCAAGUGAGGGGAAAGCAUGCCCAGGGAUGUCCAGGUGAGCCCAGGUGAGGGGCAGGCAUGUCCAGGUGUGCCAGGGUGAGGGGCAGGUGAGCCCAGGUGAGGGGAAGGUGUGCCCAGGCAUGCCCAGGUGAGGAGCAGGCGUGUCCAGGUGUGUCAGGGUGAGGGGCAGGGAUGCCCGGGGGGGGGGCAGGUGAGGGUCAGGGGUGCCCAGGUGAGGAGAUGCACCAGGUGAGGGGCAGGUGUGCCCUGGUGAGGUGAAGGCAUACCCAGGUGUGCCCCGGUGAGGGGCAGUUGUGCCCAGGUGAGCCCAGGCAUGCCCAGGUGUGGGGAAGGUGUGCCCAGGUGAAGGGAAGGUAUGCCCAGGUGAAGGGAAGGUAUGCCCAGGUGUGCCCAGCUGAGGGGCAGGUGUGCCCAGGUGUGCCCAGGUGAGGGGCAGGCGUGCCCAGGUGUGCCCAGCUGAGGGGCGGGUGUGCCCAGGUGUGCCCAGGUGUGCCCAGGUGUGCCCAGCUGAGGGGCAGGUGUGCCCAGGUGUGCCCAGGUGAGGGGCAGGUGUGCCCAGGUGUGCCCAGGUGAGGGGCGGGUGUGCCCAGGUGUGCCCAGGUGAGGGGCGGGUGUGCCCAGGUGAAGGGAAGGUGUGCCCAGGUGUGCCCAGCUGAGGGGCAGGCGUGCCCAGGUGUGCCCAGGUGAGGGGCAGGUGUGCCCAGGUGUGCCCAGGUGAGGGGCAGGUGUGCCCAGGUGAGGGGCGGGUGUGCCCAGGUGAAGGGAAGGUGUGCCCAGGUGUGCCCAGCUGAGGGGCAGGCGUGCCCAGGUGUGCCCAGGUGAGGGGCAGGCGUGCCCAGGUGUGCCCAGCUGAGGGGCGGGUGUGCCCAGGUGUGCCCAGGUGUGCCCAGCUGAGGGGCGGGUGUGCCCAGGUGUGCCCAGGUGUGCCCAGCUGAGGGGCGGGUGUGCCCAGGUGUGCCCAGGUGUGCCCAGCUGAGGGGCGGGUGUGCCCAGGUGUGCCCAGGUGUGCCCAGGUGUGCCCAGGUGAGGGGCAGGCGUGCCCAGGUGUGCCCAGGUGAG